rnacentral:sRNA from 1 species
CAUACAUCAUCAGCGCUGCUCCCCCAGGGACGGACCCCUACACAGCUGGAUUGGCUGCAGCAGCGACACUAGGCCCAGCUGUGGUCCCUCACCAGUAUUAUGGAGUUACUCCCUGGGGAGUCUACCCUGCCAGUCUUUUCCAGCAGCAAGCUGCUGCUGCCGCUGCAGCAACUAAUUCAGCUAAUCAACAGACCACCCCACAGGCUCAGCAAGGACAGCAGCAGGUUCUCCGUGGAGGAGCCAGCCAACGUCCUUUGACCCCAAACCAGAACCAGCAGGGACAGCAAACAGAUCCCCUUGUGGCAGCUGCAGCAGUGAAUUCUGCCCUUGCAUUUGGACAAGGUCUGGCAGCAGGCAUGCCAGGUUAUCCGGUGUUGGCUCCUGCUGCUUACUAUGACCAAACUGGUGCCCUUGUAGUGAAUGCAGGCGCAAGAAAUGGUCUUGGAGCUCCUGUUCGACUUGUAGCUCCUGCCCCAGUCAUCAUUAGUUCCUCAGCUGCACAAGCAGGUGAGCGCACAUCUGAGUGGACUCCUGCCAGAGAUCUAAAAGUGGCGACUGAUAGUGAGAUUCUUAAACUGUUGCAGCAGCCGCAGCUUCAGCAAAUGGAGCAGCUGGUGGUCUUGCUGGAACAACAAAUGGACCAUUUCGCCCUUUAGGAACACAGCAGCCUCAGCCCCAGCCCCAGCAGCAGCCCAAUAACAACCUGG